UCUUUAAUUUCUCUUUGAAGGGAUUCCAGCACUGCUUCGGAUAACGAAGACCUAUUGUACACACUCCAUUCUCCUGAUGACAGAAUUAUUCGAGACGAAGCCAGGGAGUCCGAAACAGAAUGUGAUAGGCUGUGGAAAACUUUCGAAGUCAACCAGUAUGAAGAAAACAAACGAUGGACAGGCGAACACGCAAUUCUUGCGUGAAGAAGAAUACAGACCCUGAUUAUCCAGCAGGUUAUUCUCAACCAGCUACAUUCGGAGCUUAAAAAGAAGAAUGAAGUCGAAGUUCUUUUUUUCUUUUUUUGUCUACUCACGGUGCUUAUGUUGUUUGUUGCUAUUGAAAUGGCAACCAUUGUAACCAUGUUGAUUGUGAAAUAUGUACAAAAGAUUUUAAAUAAACUAUGUUAUUUGAAA